rnacentral:rRNA from 1 species
GACGAACCGUCCAAACGUUAUUCGGAAUCACUGGGCUUAAAGGGCGCGUAGGCGGCCGAGCGGGUCACGGGUGAAAUCCUCCAGCUUAACUGGAGAACUGCCCUUGAUACCACUGCGGCUCGAGGAAGGAAGGGGCAAUCGGAACUGUCGGUGGAGCGGUGAAAUGCGUUGAUAUCGACAGGAACGCCGGUGGCGAAAGCGGAUUGCUGGUCCGUAACUGACGCUGAGGCGCGAAAGCGUGGGGAGCAAACAGG